rnacentral:rRNA from 1 species
GUCGAACGAAGUAGCAAUACUUAGUGGCAGACGGGUGAGUAACAUGUAGGUAUCUGCCCUUUGGCCUGGAAUAACACGAGGAAACUUGUGCUAAUACCGGAUAAGUCUUUACGGAGAAAGCUUUAUGCACCAUUGGAUGAGCCUGCACUUGAUUAGUUUGUUGGUAGGGUAAUGGCCUACCAAGACUGUGAUCAAUAGCUGAUUUGAGAGGAUGAUCAGCCACAUUGGGACUGAGACACGGCCCAAACUCCUACGGGAGGCAGCAGUGGGGAAUCUUGCACAAUGGAGGAAACUCUGAUGCAGCGAUGCCGCGUGAGUGAAGAAGGCCUUUGGGUUGUAAAGCUCUUUCGUCGGGGAAGAAAAUGACUGUACCCGAAUAAGAAGGUCCGGCUAACUUCGUGCCAGCAGCCGCGGUAAUACGAAGGGACCUAGCGUAGUUCGGAAUUACUGGGCUUAAAGAGUUCGUAGGUGGUUGAAAAAGUUGGUGGUGAAAUCCCAGAGCUUAACUCUGGAACUGCCAUCAAAACUUUUCAGCUAGAGUUUGAUAGAGGAAAGCAGAAUUUCUAGUGUAGAGGUGAAAUUCGUAGAUAUUAGAAAGAAUACCAAUUGCGAAGGCAGCUUUCUGGAUCAAUACUGACACUGAGGAACGAAAGCAUGGGUAGCGAAGAGGAUUAGAUACCCUCGUAGUCCAUGCCGUAAACGAUGUGUGUUAGACGUUGGAAAUUUAUUUUCAGUGUCGCAGCGAAAGCGAUAAACACACCGCCUGGGGAGUACGACCGCAAGGUUAAAACUCAAAUGAAUUGACGGGGACCCGCACAAGUAGUGGAGCAUGUGGUUUAAUUCGAAGAUACGCGCAGAACCUUACCAACACUUGACAUGUUCGUCGCGACUUUAAGAGAUUAAAGUUUUCGGUUCGGCCGGACGAAACACAGGUGCUGCAUGGCUGUCGUCAGCUCGUGUCGUGAGAUGUUGGGUUAAGUCCCGCAACGAGCGCAACCCUCACUUUUAGUUGCCAUCAUUAAGUUGG